UACAAAAAAUAACGUUUAGAAAUUCUAUUAGAGUUUUUACUUAUAAUUGUUAUUUUAUUGAGCUCGGACACACAAAUUACGCCUAUUGAUUCAAUAUACAAUCAUGACUUGUCUGAGUUUAAUCAGUUAAUCAAAACAUAAUUUAAUUUUAAGUUCUGUUGACGUAAAAUAUAACUUGAUGACGUGGAAACAGCCCAGAGUUUCCCGCUCCGUCUCAAAGGGACCAAUCUAACGCGAGCGAGCAUAUCGAAGGUUCAUCGAAGCGUUGUGGUGAAUGGUAAGUCAUUUUAUGCUUAAUGACACAUAUUUGCAUUGGUUCAAGAUUCUGUUGCUGAUAGCCUACUGUAAGACAAAGAUGCAACCUGCAACCGGAUGGCGGGCGAGGCGCUCCGGUUAGCUCGCCACCGCGUUUGUGUGCACCGCAGUCCGGUCGGAGCUGCAGGCCUCAAGAUAAGGCCCAUUACGGACAUGCUUCCUGAGGACAACACAGUUGAAAAGCGCCGAGAAAUUGCCAUUCGCUGCCUCAUAGUCUAUCUUGGAGAGAAGGAGGAGGACCUUUUCAAACAUUACAGCGAUGUGGAGAAGCUUGACGUAGACCUUGCAAGUGAUGAAGAUUGCCAUCAUUGGUGAUGGCCGUGCAACCAUCGUAGUGCGUAGUGUACCGAGAUCCUGCAGGGAAUUGAUGUCGCCAGAUCCUGUGCUGAUUGCUGAUGGGAGUAAUCUAUGCCCUUAACCGUGAUGCGAGUACUGCCGAAGUUGAUUGAUAGAAGUUCAUUUGAUGUUGAAAUGUGUGCCUUUAAUAUACAGCCAUCUGUCAUCUUUUGUUUUAAAUCAUUUUCAUUUGUUCAUGUCAAAGGAUGGUGAUUCAAGCCUUCUUUUGCACAGGCUCUGUUGUCUGUUCUGAAUGUUAGA